CUGAAGGUUGAAGAAUUGGAAAAGGAAAUAGCAGAUUCUAGAGAGAAAAACGAGUUCUAUUGAGUUAAAAUUCAGGAACUUAUUUUAUAUAAAAGUUGAUGUGGCAGUCGACUAAGGUAACAGAAAGAGCGGCUGCUGAUACACGUUGAAGCAUAAGCCAAGAAAUAUGAGGAUAAAUACAAGCAGACUGGGGAUGUAGCCUCUAAUUUAACUAUUGAAGAAGCUACAUUUUGUGAUAUUCAGGAGAAGAAAAUGGAAUUAUGUCGGGCAAUUAAAAUGGAAGGAGGCACUGCUGAUAAUGCUCUGAAGCUACAUUAUAACAUAUUUAAUUUUUUGGAGAAUAUAUAUACUUGGCUGUAAGUCCCAUUUUUCUGGCUUUUGCAGGAGCGAGCUGAGAAUAUCCAGUCAAGUCUCAAGGACCUUGUAAAAAGUGUUGAUGAACGCUGUAAACAAUAUGAAUUGCAUGCUCCAAUCUCACUGGUUAAGCUUCCCUUUGGUAUCUCCAUGAACUUAGUAAUCCUCUGGUGUCUCAUCUAGAAAAUAUUAGUGUUUGUGACUUUGGGCUUUAUCAUUUUGUGUCUUACUUGGCAAAAUGUGCCAUUUUGCAUCUCUAGUGAAACAAGAUGUUGUCAUAAUCUUCAAAUAGUUUGGUCACUCUUCAAACAGACAACAUAUGAUCAAACUGUUACUUAACUGUUGUUCUAAAUUUGAUUUUUUUUGCGCACUUCCAUAAUGCACUUGAUCAUGUUUGGAAGACAUGCAAUAAAAUAUCUCUGCAAUAUCUCAUGAUUUGAUCUCAAAAUUAAUAGAGAAAUUCAGGUAAACUAUUGUUUCAUCUCGUGUUCAGAUAUGUGAUUCAUAAAUGUCUUGCAAAUUGUCCAAGUUGUUAUCCUAAUGAAAUAAUUCCUCAUAAGAAGAUGCCUGUAUUUUGGCAAUUCUACAUUACAUCCUUGAUUGUGCUCAAGCCUAUGCAAAAUGAUGACUAGCCUAGGUGAAGGAGCCAUUUUUCUUUAGAUGGAAUGUAAAAAAGGCCCAUGGUUUUAAUGUGAAUCAAAAGACUACAUUCUGUUAUAAUUUUAAAAGGAAUCAUCUCUGAUUCUUUGUUCUUGGUGUAAUAUUUUGCUGCUGGUAUGUGUGAAUUGCAGCCUCGAGAACAAAAUCAAUUCUUUUUGAAUAAAGAAACAAAAUUUGGAAAUCAUGUUUAUUAUUAGAUUAUUUUUGUAAUUGAUGUAUGUAGAAUUUUUGUCACAGAAUGUUGAUAAAUUUUUAUCUGGCUGUUUAUUUGGUGCUAAUUUUUCUUUCAUAAUAAACAGACCUAAAUUGAAGAAAUGGAUUGUAAAUGCUUGUCAUGUAGUUUUCCCUUGAGCACUUGAAAGCUGUAUACAGUUGGGAACCUGGAAUUCAAGGAGCAGCUGACUGGGAUGAAAAUUGGGAUAAAUUUGAAGAUGAAGAUACCUUGAACAAUUAACCUGCUGGAUGUUUUAGACUUUUAGUUCAUUUUCUAUUAUCUUGGUAAAUUUUAUCUGAAAAUGGACCUUUUUAUCCCUUCAUUAAUAAUUCUUCUUCUAAUGCAGGUUUCGCGUUUGUCAAAGAGCUCACUUUGGAUGUGCAAAAUGUUGUAGCCCCUCCAAAACAGACAUAUUUAGUUCAAAAAGUAACCACUCUCACAAAUGAGGAUUUAAGUGCUUCCCCCUCAAAGGAUGCAGCAAAGUCACAGAAGGCUGCAAGUCUAGGUGAACCAGUUCAAGAGAAAGAAUCAACUCAUGACCAUAGGGAGAAUGGUACAGCAAGGAGUCUGCUUGAUACUCCUGCUGAUGCUGGAAGAAGUCCAACAGGGAGCCAGUCAGAUGAACUCCGAGAUUCUCCAUUCAAAGAAAGCAAUAGUGCUGAUAGUCAUCCCACGCUAAAGAAAUCCAUGGGUUUGUUUGCAUUUGUGGAUUUUUACUUGGACCUUCUUUUACUUGGCCUAGCUUUGAUUUCAACCGUCAACUUCCAAACAAUUUUUUUGCAAUGCUUGGUAGUCGGGUGACAUGGAGGUACUGAAAUAUCUGAGGAUAAAAGUGGUGAUGAACAUGGCUGGGGUACAUUUGACACUAAUUAUGAUACAGAAUCUGUUUGGGGCUUUGGUUCUGUUAGUGGCAAGGUACUGGAACACCGAUAAGUCUUUUCCUUUAGUUUGACAUUGACAACGAGAAUCAUUGGCGGUUGUUCCCAGCACCUCAGCUCAGGGGUCAUUUGGAUUUGCAGAUCCUGUUCCUGGCACCCAUGCCAAAUAAUUUUGGGAACUCUCCACGGAAGUUUAGUGAAGGGUCGGAGGACCACUCUUUUGACAGCUUCUUUAGGUUUGAUUCGUUUAGUAUGCAUGACAGUGGAUUAUUCCAUUCUCCACGCCACUCUUGGAAGAUUUGAUUCCAUGAACAGCACUAGAGACCCUGAUCAAAGUUAUGAUUUCCCGUCGAGGUUUGAUUCAUUUAGGGAAUCCAGAGAUUCUGAUCAAAGUGAUGGAUUCUAAAGGUUUGAUUCGUUCGAAGAUUCGGAUCAGAGUCAUGGUUUCUCGCGGUUUGAUUCAUUUAGAGAGACUGAUAACUGUCACAGUUUCUCAUCAAAGUUUGACUCGUUUCGAGAGCCUGAGAACAGUCCCAGGUUCCUAUCAAGUUUUCAUUCAUAAUUCAUUUAGAGACGCCGGAGACUCGGAUCAGGGUCAUGGGUUCUCAAGGUUUGAUGCACUUAAUGCUAAUGACAGUGGAUUCGUUCAGUCCUCUGGCAGUUUCUUAGCUAGGUUUGAUUCCAUACGUGGCUCUGGAGAGACUGAUAAGGGCAAUAGUCGGUUCUUAUCUUUUGACGACUCUGAUCCAUUUGGCUCUACUGGGCCAUUUAAGACGUCAGUAGAGAGAAGCUCCAAGACGAAGUUCAGAUAACUGGAAAGCUUUUUAGUUGGGAAGGGACAUCAUUUUACGCGUGCUCUCCUUCUACAGAACUACUGAAGGCCUCUUUUUCUCAAAAAAUAUUUAUUCGUCGGUGAUAUUUGGUCCUGCAGGUGUGGCGGCCUGAUUCUUCCAUGAGUACAUAGCGUGUGGUAUUUUGAAUUAUUAUUGGUCUGCCUUAAUUUUUAGCCGUGUUUGGUUUUGCUUUUAUAUUCGGUUUUUUUCGUUAUUUUUUGAUCACGACAAAGGGAUCAUGUGUAUUUUUGUUUAAAAUGUGGUAAAUUUUAAAUUUAUUUUGAUUUCAAAAA